rnacentral:rRNA from 1 species
GAUGAACGCUGGCGGCGUGCCUAAUACAUGCAAGUCGAGCGAACGGACGAGAAGCUUGCUUCUCUGAUGUUAGCGGCGGACGGGUGAGUAACACGUGGAUAACCUACCUAUAAGACUGGGAUAACUUCGGGAAACCGGAGCUAAUACCGGAUGAUAUUUUGAACCGCAUGGUUCAAAAGUGAAAGACGGUCUUGCUGUCACUUAUAGAUGGAUCCGCGCUGCAUUUGCUAGUUGGUAAGGUAACGGCUUACCAAGGCAACGAUGCAUAGCGGACCUGAGAGGGUGAUCGGCCACACUGGAACUGAGACACGGUCCAGACUCCUACGGGAGGCAGCAGUAGGGAAUCUUCCGCAAUGGGCGAAAGCCUGACGGAGCAACGCCGCGUGAGUGAUGAAGGUCUUCGGAUCGUAAAACUCCGUUAUUAGGGAAGAACAUAUGUGUAAGUAACUGUGCACAUCUUGACGGUACCUAAUCAGAAAGCCACGGCUAACUACGUG